rnacentral:rRNA from 1 species
AUUGAACGCUGGCGGCAUGCCUUACACAUGCAAGUCGAACGGCAGCACGGGAGCAAUCCUGGUGGCGAGUGGCGAACGGGUGAGUAAUACAUCGGAACGUGCCCAGUAGUGGGGGAUAGCCCGGCGAAAGCCGGAUUAAUACCGCAUGAGACCUGAGGGUGAAAGCGGGGGAUCGCAAGACCUCGCGCUAUUGGAGCGGCCGAUGUCAGAUUAGCUAGUUGGUAGGGUAAAGGCCUACCAAGGCAACGAUCUGUAGUUGGUCUGAGAGGACGGCCAGCCCAACUGGGACUGAGACACGGCCCAGACUCCUACGGGAGGCAGCAGUGGGGAAUUUUGGACAAUGGGAGCAAGCCUGAUCCAACAGUGCCGCGUGCAGGAAGAAGGCCUUCGGGUUGUAAACUGCUUUUGUCAGGGAAGGAAUCUUCUGGGCUAAUACCCUGGGAGGAUGACGGUACCUGAAGAAUAAGCACCGGCUAACUACGUGCCAGCCGCCGCGGUAAGAC